rnacentral:rRNA from 1 species
ACCAGUACCGUGAGGGAAAGGCGAAAAGAACCCCGGGAGGGGAGUGAAAUAGAUCCUGAAACCGUGUGCUUACAAAAAGUAGGAGCCUCGUAAGGGGUGACUGCGUACCUUUUGUAUAAUGGGUCAGCGACUUAUUUUCAGUGGCGAGCUUAACCGAAUAGGGGAGGCGUAGCGAAAGCGAGUCUUAAUAGGGCGUCUAGU